rnacentral:piRNA from 2 species
UUCUGCCAAAUCUUUCUCUGAUUCGUCAC